ACAAAAUGAAUUUUUUGAUCCAUAUUCUUGUGUAAUAUUCUCAAAACUUUGCUGCAUUUUUGUCUUUUGAUGGGAAUGACUGGCAUAUGAAUGUGUUGCACACAUUAAACGCAUCAAAUUUUGGAGUCAAAAUAAUAGUCACUGCACUUUCCCAUCAAAAAAUUUGUCUGGGAAUAUUAUCUGAAAAAGUUCAUGCUGAGUCGAAGUCAUAAGAUUCAUUAGGAUAUAAGUGUUUUUCUGAGUCUAAGUCAUAAGGUUUAUUAGGAUAUAAGUAUUUCCGUAUCUCCGCAUAUUUUCCUUUUCUUAGAGAUGGGGAAUCAGAAUUCGAAGUAAGAGAAACAACUUUUAUUUAUUGUGCCUGGAUACACCUUUUAAUGUAUAGUCUUACACAACGAUAAACCAUAACUGGUAUUGCAGGUGUCACGCACCUUGUGCUGAAUAUACAAUGUUUGUCCUUGGAUAUACCAUUGAUAUACAGUCUUACAACGAUCACAUGCCUAUAAUAUAUCUGAGAAGAUUUACAACGAACAAGGUUCAGUCUUCCACUUUUGAAUAAUCAAAGAGCAAGCUUGCAACAAGGUAAGUCAAUCUAAAAAAGAUACUUCGAUUGAAUGUUAUUUAUUGGUUUGGUCGCCACUCGCCAGUGAAAGGUCUUUUGCUACUAUUUUGGGUUGCCACUGGAUCCACUUUCUGCUGAUGUUUCUGGAUGCAGUUGAAGCCACUUAUGCUGCUGCUUCUUGGAUGUUACUACAAAUAUCUUUAAAGUUUCUCUGGAUGCGAUUGGAACUACUUUUGUUGCUCUUUUUCUAGAUGUUGUUGCAGUCCUUUUUUGUUGUUGUACUAUUAGGUUAGUCCAUGUGGUUACACAUCAAACUCUUCAGUACUUUUAACUUCUAAGAUCCAGGUCCAUUCAUUUUUGUUUCCUUCUGUAUAUGCUCUAUAUUCUCCGGCUUUAGUUUCGAGCAGUCUUACUAAAGAUACUUAGUAUCAAAAUUAAACUAUGAUAUCCCUUGAAAACAACUAUCGCAACUAGGGGUUGAAAGGGGUAUGCUAUGCAGCUCUUUUGUGGGUCUGCCAUUUUCCCGUCACUAAUCUCUGUACAAUAACAACAUAAUCAAUCAGCUUGUAAAGAGCUAUUGGAUUUGCAUUGAAAAGCUCUUCUUGACUGUGUUUUUAUAGUAGCAUCAAGGUAUUCUCGCUACAUGAAGUGCGAGUACUUGACAAAAAGUUUUUUAUCAUCCACAAAAAUGCUAACUUAAAGCAACAAUUUAGAAAAGUGAAAAAUACUAACCUAAUAAAGGCACAAAUAUCAAUUGAUCUCUAAACACUUAAAUUUGAAAGCAUUUUAUUCCUCCACCUCCUUCACUUUAUUAUUAGCCCUAUUCACCUUUUCUCUGUGUCUUUUUGUAUUUUCUUAUGAUAAUUUUUUCUCUUGUAAGGUUAAGAGCAACAUAGUUAAUAUUUAUUACUCUUCUCCUCUUGGUAAAAGGUACUAUCAUGUUUUACUAUAUGAUUGUUGGUCAAAUUUUAUCCUUUCUGCUUCAAGAUUGUGAGUAUUUGUUAGCUCUAACAAGGAGGUAAGAGUAGUGCAAAAGCUUAAGCUUUUUACUCUUUGUUAUUUCCUUCAAGAAAGCUCUUUUACUCUUACCUUGUUCAAGCCAUUUUGAGAUUGAGAGCUUUUGGCUUGAUAAAAACAAUUAAUGGUUCACAAAAUCAGUAUCUAAAGGCCAGAAUUAUGAUUUUGAUAGAUAGGUAAGGCUGAACAAAUAUAAAUAGCAGGUUCCUUUCACCCCGUCUCUGGUACUUGUGUCUAUUUGAAUUUGUCUGUUUGAAUUUGCCUGCACAUAGAUGAGCUAUAUCUUCCGUUGUCCAAACAUUGUUAGAUUUGGUGACAUUAUUGAUCUUAUAGAAUUAAUUGGGUUAAAUACUCAGAAAAGAUUCUGAUAAUAUAUUUUGCAUGCUCCAUAAUGCUUUGCUCUCUUAAAUUACUUUGUCUUUUUGUUUUUUCCAAAUUGAAUCUGUUGAGAUUCAUGAAGGCUGCUACCAUCUGAACGUGUCCUCUUUUCUUCUACCUUGACCGCUUGACACCUUCACUUUGACGAAUGUCUAUUGUCUUGCUUCUUUAUUUCAGGUAAUUUUUGGUUAAAAAAAAUUAAGAAGAAGGCAUUGAGCUUCAGCCGAAAAGUAUUUUCUGCUGCCUGCAAGAAUCUGAAAAAGAAUAUACAUUUUGAACUUUAAGCAUAUGCUAAUAUGAUGCUACCAUAGAGAUAAAGAAUGUAUAUUUUGAUUCAAAAUGUAUAUAAAUAAUAUCCAGCAAUUAGUGUGUAUGUAGUGUUGUAGUGUUGCUUAUCUAAUUAGAUACUAACUUACAUGCAUCAAUUUUUAUUAUCAGCCCUUUCACACAAAACCAAGUAAUAUUGGGCCC
rnacentral:lncRNA from 1 species